rnacentral:piRNA from 1 species
UAAGUAGCACUUGUAACAUUUGAU